GCGGCCCCGAGCACUCCGCCAUCUUUUGUGUGGGGGUUCCGGGUGCUGUCGCUCUUCACAAUGCUGCUCCUCAGGUCCUGGUGUUGGAUUGUCGGUCCCUGAAGGAGCUGUGACAGAGUUUGAAGGAGGGCGCCCUAUGAAUAGGAAGAGGAAUCCCACCUGGGAGAAGAUCGUUGUGGCCAGAACCCUCUCAGGACUGCUUCAGAGCAGAGAUGACCGGAGAGGGGAUCUGAACCCUUGGCCUUGGUUUCAGCACCACACUCUCCCAAGUGGGCCAUGGGCUGGCCCCAUAAUGUACAUUUUUUACCUAGAUGAUCCUAAUGUGUUGAGAGUUUUGGUCAGGAGAAUCUGGGGUCGAGCCACAACAGUUCUCUCCUUAAUCCACUCCAUUCCCUCCUCUCCCAGCUAAGCUGCCAGAGUGCACUGUGCAUUUCCAAGAGCAAGAAAAGGUGGAUAAAUCUCUGCCUUAAAUGCAAACAUGAUGUCUGGAGCUCUAGCAGCCACCUCGAGACCAUGAGACAACCAAUACGAGGGAAAUGCUAGAAGAUCACAGGAUUUCCUGACACCAUUCAGUCUCUAACUAAAUGCAAGCAGCAAUGUUUCCCUGGAUAUAUGCUCCACACACCCUUUCCACCUUGGCUCCCAUCCUCAUCCCCCAGUCACUCCGCCCAUCACUCUCUUGCAGUGGUCAGAGGACAAAGCACUGUUUAAUUCCCAGGUCCUCCCAUGGAAUGAAUUCAGAAGAAAUCACCCUCCAGAGAAGAGCAGAAAGGAGCAAAGGAUGGACAGUGCUGAGGGUCAAAUGUGUCCCUCAAAAGUUCAUGUAUUGGAAACUCGAUCUCCAUUGUAACAGUGUUAAGAGGUUGGAAAAUC